rnacentral:lncRNA from 1 species
CAAUUUCCAAAUUCAAUCCAAACCAAGUUUCAAUACCAAUUCCAAAUCCAUUCUUUUCACAAGUAAAUUGAUUUUCAAAAUACAUUCAAAUGUCUUCCGAUACAAUUCAUAUACAUCCAGAAUUUCCACAUAAAACAAGUUCUAUACUAAUCAAUCCCUAAGUCCCAUCAUGCUCCUUCCAUUUAUCUGUGGGUUAUCCUUUUGCUCCCUAUGUCAAAACCGAACCUGCAAAACAUUUGUCAAAUAUAGCCCAUGAGUUUCACAUACCAAAGUUCAUAACAUGAACAACAAUUUCCAAGCAGCUCAGUCCCAAACUUGCACUACAACAGCCAAUGGAAAAUCAAUCCGUACCGAGAAUCCUCGCAUUAACAAAACAGAUCCUAACAAACUCAAUUCAUCACCAUUAAAUUCACUUAACUAAUCACUAACAAUGCAGCAAUACACUCAGCAAACCAUAGCAUAAUCAAUACAUACCAAUGUUACGACAAUGCACGUAUAAACCAAAUGAUGCAUCGGGUUUUGACAGUAGCAAACCAAGCAAAAAUCCUGCACUAAACUACUCCCUGCAUCGUGCAAACCAUAAUUCACAACAAUUCAUUCUGCAAAAUCCAAAUGGAAAACCAGGAAUUAACAUAGAUUAUAACUAAUAGAACCCUGCACCAUGAAUAACGUUCGCAACAGCAUAAACAAAAAAACUCAGAUCGCAGGAACCCUGUAAAGUCGGGAUUAACAUAACCACUUCUACCCUGCAAAUUCAAUAGCAGAGUCAGAAUCAAAUUCAGCUUACCUCUCUAACUAACAUUCCAUCAAUUAAAAGAUUAAUCUAACACAGUUAACAAAUACCAACUAUUUGCAAUUAACAUUUUAACAGAUUUCAACUAACUCAAACUGACUAUAAAAGAAUCACUUAACAGGGUGAUAACGGAAUCAUUUUCCUAACUAAUUUACACUGAGCAAGUUAACAACAUCUAACUCUGUUAAUAUUCAGCUCUCUAUAAAUUCACCAAGCAUCUUAUUCAAUAAGGUUGAACGUUGACGCGGAUGUUGGAACUCUGGAUCAGUGAAGAUGACCAGGAGUUCAAAUCGAUUAAGAUUUUGAUCCGAAUUUGUUUUUGCUCAUGCUCACGUUUGGAAUGGUGUGAUUAUGGGUUGAUAAAAGCAGGAAAUGCAGAUGCUGCUGAGACGGUGGCAUUUCAUGAUUAUGCGUUGGUCCGAAUCCCUUUUUUCAGCCUGU